CCUACGGGUGGCAGCAGUAGGGAAUAUUGCUCAAUGGGCGAAACCCUGAAGCAGCAACGCCGCGUGAAGGAUGAAGGUUUUCGGAUUGUAAACUCCUUUUGAUAGGGAAGAAAAUGACGGUAUGUAACGAAUAAGCAACGGCCAAUUCCGUGCCAGCAGCCGCGGCAAUACGGAGGGUGCAAGCGUUACUCGGAAUCACUGGGCGUAAAGAGCGCGUAGGCGGGUUGGCAAGUCAGAUGUGAAAUCCUUUGGCUUAACCGUAGAACUGCAUUUGAAACUGUAAGUCUAGAGUAUGGGAGAGGUAGGUGGAAUUCGUGGUGUAGGGGUGAAAUCCUUAGAGAUCAAGAGGAAUACUCAUUGCGAAGGCAGCCUGCUGGAACAUAACUGACGCUGAUGCGCGAAAGUGUGGGGAGCAAACAGGAUUAGAUACCCGAGUAGUC
rnacentral:rRNA from 1 species